AACAUACUCCCUCCGUCCGGAANUACUUGUCAUAGGAAUGGAUGUAUCUAGAUGUAUUUUAAUUCUAGAUACAUCCAUUUUUAUACAUUUGUGCGACAAGUAAUUCCAGACGGAGGGAGUAACAA
rnacentral:pre_miRNA from 1 species